CAAUAGCGUAUAUUAAAGUUGUUGUGGUUAAAAAGCUCGUAGUUGGAUCUCGGCGGUCUGAGGGCGGUUCGCUUCAGAGCGCUACUGCCCUAUAGACCGUAGUUUUGCCAGAGGUCUCAGGGUGCUCUUAACCGAGUGUCUUGCGAUGCUGGCAGGUUUACUUUGAAAAAUUAGAGUGCUCAAAGCAGGCUUUUACGCCUGAAUAUUCGUGCAUGGAAUAAUAGAAUAGGAAGUCGUUUCUAUUUUGUUGGUUUUCGGAAAUCGACUUAAUGAUUAAUAGGGACAGUCGGGGGCAUUUGUAUUCAAACGACAGAGGUGAAAUUCUUGGACCGUUUGAAGACAAACUACUGCGAAAGCAUUUGCCAAGAAUGUUUUCAUUAAUCAAGAACGAAAGUUAGAGGUUCGAAGACGAUCAGAUACCAU
rnacentral:rRNA from 1 species